CUUGGCUGCAAGACUUAAGUGGCUGCUUCUGAAGAUAAUGAAUAAUACUCUGUCCUGUUGUUCAUUACAGUAUCAGUCCCUAAAUCCUUGGUCUCUGCAUUCCAACACAAAGUAAAAAGGAUUCAGCAGGUUAGUAUUGAAGAGGUUGGAAGCAGUGGCAUUUCCAGUGACCCCAUUUGUUCAGUUUUCAUUAAGACUUUCAUGAGAUAAGAAGGGGUUAGUUAUUUUUGGAUUUUUUGCCCGUAAUUAGAGAUUACUAUCUUGUAUUUUUUAGGGUUUUGGUUUUGGUUGCAAGUAACAGAAACCCAAGUCAAUUAAUAAAUGGGAAAGUGUGUUGGUGGAAAUGUAAGAAGAGAUUUCAUUUAUUGGCCAGCUCAAAAGAUGACAAGCUUUGGGCGUGGCUCAGUCCAGUGGCUCAUGAUGUCUUCAGGACUCAGUGUUUCUCUAUUGUCAUCUCUUAGUUCUAUACUUUUUCUGUAUUGGUUCAUUGUGAGCUUUCCUUUAGAGGGUGGCAGAGAAAGCCACUAGUUGCUCCAAGCCGUUAUUCUAUCAGCUCCACAAGUCCAAUGGAAAGAGAAAACUGCUUUCCCAAAGGGUAUAAGAAGAUGGAAGGCAUGUUCUCAGCUGAAUUGCAUCAGAUGCCCAUCUUGGAAUCAAUCACGGUGCCUCUUAUUAGCAAAGCCUGAGUCAUAGGAGCACUGGAAAUUCCUGGCUCGAGUAUUUCCAAAUGGACUUCCAAGUCCUCUUCCUCCUGGAGAUGUUUUUGCCCCCAUGGUUUUCAUGAUUGCGUUUUCUUCUGUAAGCCACCUAUGGGACUAUAUUGUAUGAAUCCUACAUUCUGCUUACGGAGUGUACAGCUGGAGGAUCAGGAUAAGCUGUGGUCAUUCUGGAUUUUCAAGAGCAUCAUGAAGAAAAAUGAAUGUCUGCAAUAAGCACAAAGGACCUGAUAGUCUAUUGAGAAAAAGAGAUGCAAACAACAUGUACAAUGGAAGAAAUGCUACAAAGUAGAUAAUGGUCAUGCAGGAUUUGCCCCUCUUCCCAAGUUGAUAGAGAAGGUUGACUACUCGUUGUAGUUUGUGAUGUUCACUCUUCUGAGAAUAAACAAGCAUCUUUUGGUUGGCCUGUGGUUGUGGGGUGAUACCAGGAACUGCAGAGAGAGGUUUUCAUCUGGAACCCAGAAAGGAAAAAGUUGAGUCAUUACCCGGAACUGAAGGAAUGAGCUAAUUGGCUGGGGAGGCUUAGGGGCAUGGACAACCAGCUUGGAGUCUGAGUUGUUAUCCCACUGAGCCAUCAGUCUCAGGACAAGAGCGAGUGCCUUCACCUCAUUCCCUUAAAGCCUGUCCUCUGACCCACAACAGAAAGAGAGUUUCUGUUCUGCCCCCAUCUCACUAUGUGUACUCAAGCAAUUUACUUAUCCCCUCAAGGACUUAGUUUCCUAAUCUGCAAAAUGGGUGAUAGAAGAAUGAUCAGGUUAACGGUGUCCAUUGGAAGUCACUCAAGCACAAACAGAUGAAGGGACUGGGAGCGUGGAAAAGAGCGGUGUUUUUGCUUUCCCUGCAUCCACCCACUGCUUCAUCCAGAACAUUUCUCUUUCCUAUGCAGAUUAUGUGUCUGCAUCCCAGCGUGAUCUUAAGUCUGAACAAAGGACUUCAAAGCUAAGAUGGGAAACCCACUGGCUUUGGCAAUCUCUAGGGUUGCUUCUACUUAUUUUCUGUUUCUGUUUGUCAUGAAGUCACAUGAGAGAAUGUUGUGCUGAAGACAUGAUGGGAAAGGGGCCCAAGCAGAAAUUAAUCUAAAAGAUGAAUGUGCCAAGAAUAGGAGGCUUUUGGGUGAGGGGACCCUCGGGUCUUGCUUAGAAGGUGGUAGUGGAAAAUUCCACACCUCACUGGAAGGCGCUGUUUCUUCCUGCCUCCUUCACAUUGAUCUCUCUCAAAUGGAAAACCGAUCCUUCUCACCUCAGAAUUGGGCCAAAUCCAGUUUGAAGCAUCCAUUUCUUGUGAAGAGUCUGUCCUGUGGUGUGUAAUUUAAUUUAAAAUAUAUUAUCAAAAAUAGUAUAAUAAAAAUAGGUUCUACUGGUUGCCCUAAUUGGGAUACACGUUACAGGAAAUGGUUCACAGUGUUUAAUCAAAGAGCUACACUGCAAGGAAAGUUACUGCAAGCAUCUAGCUGUUUUUAUCUACAACUGACCCCAGAAGUUUAGACAUUCGCAUGUUUUUAUAAAUGGGUUUACACUGAUAAAAUUGCUGGUGUUCAAAAUAUGUGGCUUGGCUAGAACUAUGAUAAAUGUUAUAGAAACCCUUCUGCACUUGUUUAAGGCAAAAUAAUCCAGGGAACUCAGUAGUCCAUAUUCUUUG